GUUAAAAAAUGAAACAAGUUGACCCUAUUUGUAAAUUUUCACAAGUUACCAUCAAGGAUAUUUCCAUGCAUUGCAUUCUAAAAUAGGAUUCGAUAAGCAAGGUCUUCUUCAACAGGCAAUUUGAAUUAAGGAUAGCUUUAGCAUCAAAAGUGAGAGAGAAACUGUUUUGAACCGAGCCUUUGUUUUUUAUCAUUUAUUUCAUUUACUUGGUUUUUU
rnacentral:misc_RNA from 1 species